rnacentral:rRNA from 1 species
UACGUAGGGGGCAAGCGUUGUCCGGAAUCAUUGGGCGUAAAGAGCGUGUAGGCGGCCUGGCAAGUCUGACGUGAAAUCCCUCGGCUUAACCGAGGAACUGCCCUCCAAACUGCUUGGCUUGAGACCGGGAGAGGUGAGUGGAAUUCCCAGUGUAGCGGUGAAGAUGCGUAGAUAUUGGGAGGAACACCAGUGGCGAAGGCGGCUCACUGGACCGGUACUGACGCUGAUGCGCGGAAGCGUGGGGAGCAAACGGG